rnacentral:rRNA from 1 species
GAUGAACGCUAGCGGGAGGCCUAACACAUGCAAGCCGGGCGGUAUUUAUUCUUCGGAAUAGAGAGAGCGGCGUACGGGUGCGGAACACGUGUGCAACCUGCCUUUAUCAGGGGGAUAGCCUUUCGGAAGGAAGAUUAAUACCCCAUAAUAUAUUGAUUGGCAUCAAUUGAUAUUGAAAACUCCGGUGGAUAAAGAUGGGCACGCGCAAGAUUAGAUAGUUGGUGAGGUAACGGCUCACCAAGUCGAUGAUCUUUAGGGGGCCUGAGAGGGUGAUCCCCCACACGGGUACUGAGACACGGACCAGACUCCUACGGGAGGCAGCAGUGAGGAAUAUUGGACAAUGGGUGAGAGCCUGAUCCAGGCAUCCCGCGUGAAGGACGACGGUUCUAUGGAUUGUAAACUUCUUUUAUAUAGGGAUAAACCUACUUACGUGUAAGUAGCUGAAGGUACUAUAUGAAUAAGCACCGGCUAACUCCGUGCCAGCAGCCGCAGUAA